UAGGGAGUAGUACAUUGGCAGUAUAGAGAGUUUUGAGCUUUCUGGUUCGAGUUCGAUUCUUGACUUUCUAG
rnacentral:tRNA from 1 species